rnacentral:rRNA from 1 species
UACGUAGGGUGCGAGCGUUGCCCGGAUUUAUUGGGCGUAAAGAGCUCGUAGGCGGUGUGUCGCGUCGGCCGUGAAAACCUGCAGCUUAACUGUGGGCUUGCGGUCGAUACGGGCAUCACUGGAGUUCGGCAGGGGAGACUGGAAUUCCUGGUGUAGCGGUGAAAUGCGCAGAUAUCAGGAGGAACACCGAUGGCGAAGGCAGCCCCCUGGGCUAACACUGACGCUCAUGCACGAAAGCGUGGGGAGCAAACAGG